rnacentral:tRNA from 57 species
GGUUCAGUAGCUCAGUUGGAUAGAGCAACGGCCUUCUAAGCCGUGGGUCGGGGGUUCGAAUCCCUCCUGGAUCACCA